CAGAGCACUCCUGACGGGGGGCAGCAGUGGGGAAUAUUGGACAAGUGGGGCAACCCUGAUCCAGCCAUGCCGCGUGCGUGAAGAAGGCCUUAGGGUUGUAAAGCGCUUUCACCCGUGACGAUGAUGACGGUAGCGGGAGAAGAAGCCCCGGCUAACUCCGUGCCAGCAGCCGCGGUAAUACGGGAGGGGCGAGCGUUGUUCGGAAUUACUGGGCGUAAAGGGCGCGUAGGCGGCGGUUCAAGUGCAGGGGUGAAAGGCCUGGGCUCAACCUAGGAACUGCCCUUGAGACUGGAUUGCUAGAGACCGGGAGAGGAUGGUGGAAUUCCCAGUGUAGAGGUGAAAUUCGUAGAUAUUGGGAAGAACACCGGUGGCGAAGGCGGCCAUCUGGACCGGAUCUGACGCUGAGGCGCGAAAGCGUGGGGAGCAAAACAGGAUUAGAUACCCUGGUAG
rnacentral:rRNA from 1 species